rnacentral:lncRNA from 1 species
GCGGCCUACGGUGGUACGCGGACAAACGACGAGGUUGCUCUAGAGGACCGGAUCGAUACAGGGAAAGGGAGGAGGAGCUGGGUCUCACAGUGGUGGCAACGGCGAGAGCAGGUGGUUCCGGGAGGUUCGAACGACGGUGGAUCGAAGCCGUGGCCGAGGCGAACGCUGACGGAGGGGAUCGGCGCGGUCCGGCGAUGCAUCGAGGAUGGGCUCGAUCUGGCCCUUGUAGACGAAGCAGAGGAAGCGGGCGGAGCUCCUGGCGAAGUCUUGGCCGACGGGGAGGUCGGUGGCCACUGCGAUGCAGCAGCUAGUGGCGACGGUGCUUCGGGCGCACGCGGGGAGAAGAGAGCGACGCGAGGUGGAGAUGAAGUGGGCGGCUAGGGUUCACAGGGGGACGAGGGCGACCUUAUCUGCAUCAGGGGGCCACGGGAUGGAUGUCGCGUGGUCAUCCGCGGCCAUGGACGUGGCGCACGCCUCCACGGCGCUCCUGAUGAGCAGUAGGAAGGAGGAGGUGGCGAGGUGGGCUGGGCUCCCACGGUUGACCUAGAGCCAAGUCCACCAGUAGUUUAGCUCUUUUUUCUUAAUUUUCUUUCUGCUUCUUUGAUUUCUUCUCGGACUUGUAAAUUGCUAGGCCACCCAUUCACUUUGUAAAAUAUGAGACUUGGCUUAAUAAAUUACAUGUAAUAUUUAGCACUGUUAUAAAACGGUUCGAGGAAUAUUAGAAUUCGUUUGAUUUUUGCAUAAAAGGAAAUGGAUUAAAAAGGGUGUUCUGGACACUGUAAAUAGGUUAGGGGUAAUUUAAUAUUUCAAAUAAUGUUGGUUCCUUCAGGAAAAUUAAUUAGUGAAACUUUGUAACCCAGCGAACAUUUUUGUGUUGCCGUUUGAAGGAAUAAGAAUUUGACUUGUUUUGGAAGUUGAAUUUGAUUCGUGUUUGAAACAAAGUAAGAUUAGCAACAGUAAUUGCGAUGACUCGGCACCAUUAACAUGGGAUUACUGUAGCUUAAUUAUCCGGGCGUCACAAUUCUCCUCCACUACAAGAAAUCUCGUCCCGAGAUUUAAGGGGUGGAGUAAGGGGGAAUGACUCAGGAAGGACGGAUCUCAACACAAGAUAGGUACGUGGGGACUACGUGAGUGAACGUGGCAUAGAGGCAUCUCUCGAGUUGAAAUUCAAGAAAGUCAUCGAGAGCAAGGUGAGGUGCAAUAAGAAGCUUCAACCUGGUAGACGAUCGUUUGUUGCUUGAAACAAGGGGUGAAAGGGGUUCAGAGUAGUGGUAAUAAGUAUUGCGUCUGAUACCAUAAUAGAUCGCCUCUCGGAAGGCGGCUCAGGAUUUUCAUAUGAAGCCAAGCGUGAGAAAUAACCUUAGAAACAAGGGUGUACAGGAGAGUUAGGUUUCGAUCCUGUGGAACUAUGGGUUAUGAGCUCACCAUGUGGGUUAAAGGUAGGAAAGGCGUUGACAUCUUGCACAGAUGAUAGCAAGGCAUGUCAGAUGACAACCUGUCAGUUAUGUUGGCAACGACGUCGGUACCAAGGGCGAGGGACAAAGAGAACCAUUUUCCUGCUCGUUAGGACGAGGCGGACCAAUAGGCAAAGUUCUCGUCCAUCGGUGGUUACCGGAAUGUCAUCAACAAUAGUAACAGGGUCUUACUGACAGAGUUGUACAUCGAGGUGCUUACCUAAGCAGGGAUUUAUCUCUGCUCAGACAAGUUAGAUUACAAGAAAGGUAAAACAAAACAAUGGAAAGGAAAAUGUGAUUAUUAUGAUAAUCAGACCAAUGGAAAGGAAAGAUGUUUAUACCCAAGUAUUAGAGUAUAACUUUCCCAAGGAAAGGCAGAGCAUGAUUGGACUCCAAGUAUUAAACCGUUUAGAUAAAGGGGCAAGGAACUUAUGAGGUUUACCUAUACAACGGUGUUUGGAUAAUUGAUCAAGAACAGUUAGCAUUGCACUCCCAAUGUUUUUGUUGAUGUUUGGAGUAACACAGUCAUGCUUCGAGGUAACAGUAACAUGGUGUUUCAAGCAAGAUUGAAUCUGAAGGUCACAAGAAGUACAAAGGAACAAUUCCAAGAAUGUCAAGGAAUGUAAGAUAUAACCAAAACAUGACCAAGUCUGUAUUGGUAGGAAGUCAAGGAUGGUGUCGAUGACAACACAAAUCAUCGACGGGCAAGGAUGGUAUUUCUCCUCAAGAAUUCAAUUGAUAUCUUAGAAUAAGGCAGUAUAUUGAUGGUGAUUCACGACAAAUUUUGUCGAGAGGCUCUAAGAAGAUGCCAUCGAGCAGCAACGACAUCAAGCAAAAGGAAUGAUGAAGCGAAGGCUAUUGGAACCACGGAUACGACAUAAGCUCGGAUUCAAGCUUGUUGUUCAAGGUGGAAUGAUAAGAUGAGGAAGAUCGACGUAAGCUUCACUCAUCGUAAGCUUCACUCAUCGUCGAAAAGUUGUGCUUCGGGAAGGACCAGGUAGCACAGUUAAAAAGUUGCACGAUAAUGAUAUAGCCGAUCAGGCUAGGAAUGACUUGAAGGAUUAACAAACUCAUAAGCAAUGAAGAUUAUUUAGAGUUAUUGAAUCGGAGUGCGGAAGUGAUUUACUUAUCAGUGUUCUCGGUUGACGACAACUCAGAACCCAGGAAAAUUGAAAUCGGUGAGAAAUAACAGUUGAUGAAGAACCCAUAAGAAGUUAUGUAGUUCAGUGAUAUUCUUGAGAUACCAGAGUGUAACACUCGAUGGUAGAUCAAAGUAAAGGUUGGAUAGGUGCAAUGAUCUGCAGAAUACAAGUACUUCAACUUGUCCAAGAAAUGGGACCAAAGAAGAACAAUCAUGGUGAGAACCACGGUUGCAAAGGACCAAUAUAGAUACAAGAUGAACUUAUCACAAGGGGAUCAUUAUUAUCAUAACAAGAAGCUUCCAUGAUAAGUUCCACAUCGGGUCCAUGGGCGUGAACACAAAGGUUCAAGGUCGACUCCCACUUCAUCAAUGCACAACCUUCCAUUCACUUCUCGCAUUCGAAGUUGUAGCGUUGAUAUGUUAUCCGAAGAAACGCUAGUAGAUAUAACCUGCAUAACCUUCCGGUUCACACGGAUUAGGCAAGGCGUAGAUUCAACCCACUGGGGCAUCUUAUGAACAUAGACCACAAACUUCACGAGUAAAUAACUCAAGCUCGAAAGUAGAGCAUGAUUGAGGAAGCAGAGGAUACAAUUUACCAAAGGCAUUAUGUAUCCGAGGAAAAGCUCACAAUGUUACUAAAUAAGAAGGACGCUGUCGGAUAAAACCCAACAAAGGAUCUGGUGGUCCACAAGGGAUCUGAUGUGAGCAUCGAUACUCACCCAGAAGAAGAAAGAAUGCAAGGAUAUCAGAUUAUAGAAACAACUGACUAAUUCAAAGCUCAAAUGCAAAGGAAAUAUGAUUUCCAAAAUGGUGGAUCAGAAGCAGAGGCCCUGAUCAAAGACAGGUUAGUUGAAUAGACAUAGAUCGACAAUCAAUCAAGGUUUGAUUUGUCGAACACCAGCUCAUGUCAGGGGUGACGUCUGAGCCGAAGGGAAGAAUUCUAACUUUGAUUGAUGAUUGCAAGCAUUCACAAACAUAUCGAAUCAAAUGCUCAAAAUGAAAUAUGACAAAUGAUACUACUGAAUAUUGCCAGACAUAUGGAAAGCAUCCACAAUGCAAGCAUACAAGGAGGAGCAAGAGUAGUAGGUUUCUAAGGAUUUUCGGAAGAUCGGAUAAUAUUCCAAAGAAUUUUGUGAAACAGUGAACAACUGUGGACGAACAGAUACUCGGCAAGCGCGAGUAAUUAUCCGCAGGGGUAUUCAUGUGGCAAAGAACUGCAAGGCAGUAGGCUCAAUGGAUUCUUAGGACAACAGAGAGUAAUUCAAGGCAUCUUGUAAUAACAAGAGCAACUGGGGAUGAAGGUAUGAACGACAACGUAGGUAGUUACUCAUAAGGAUUUAUCGGUGGUAUGGAAUUGCAACGGCAAAGGGCACAAGGGUUUCGGGGAAACAUCGGGAGUAUCUUCGAAAUCUUCUAAAGCAGCAAGCGAUCAUCUGGCCUGAAGGGGCUCUCCGGGAGAAAGUGGGUACGAGAUCCUAAUGUCUGACUUAGUAAAAUGUUUAACCCGAAUAGACAAGAGAUCAGAGUCCCAGAGUAUAGACGAGGAAUAAAAUAUCCUAAUACCACCCAAUGGCGACGUGGGCCCGUAAGCCACACAACCAAUGUUAGUAAAAGUUUUUCAGUGACUAGACUCAACUUCAGCCAAGGAGUCGGAAAGGGGGCUACCUACAGGCAGUCGGCUCUGAUACCAACUUGUGACGCCCUCGAUUCAAUUGUACACUAAUCAUGCACGCAAAUGUAUAUGAUCAAGAUCAAGGACUCACGGGAAGAUAUCACAACACAACUCUAGACACAAAUUAAAAUAAUACAAGCUUUAUAUUACAAGCUAGGGGCCUCGAGGGCUCGAAUACAUAAGCUCGAAAACACAAGAGUCAGCGGAAGCAACAAUAUCUGAGUACAGACAUGAGUUAGACAAGUUUGCCUUAAGAAGGCUAGCACAAAAGCAUCUACGAACGAAAAGGCAAGGCCUCUUGCCUGGGAGCCUCCUAACUACUCCUGGUCAUCGUCGGUCUCCACGUAGUAGUAGGCAUCGGCGGUGGCAUCUGGCUCCUGGGCUCCGACAUCUGGUUGCAUCAACCGGAAAGAAGAAGAAAGAGGGAAAAGGGGGAGCAAAGCAACCAUGAGUACUCAUCCAAAGUACUCGCAAGCAAGGAUCUACACUACAUAUGCAACAUUAUCAAAGGAAGGCUGUAAAUGUGGACUGGGCUGCAGAAAUGCCAGAAAAGAGAGAAGGCCUAGUCCUAUCAAAAACUAGCAUCUUUUGGAAACCACCAUCUCGCAGCAACAGGAGGGAGUAGAGUAGCAUAAAGUAAAGUAGUAGUAGUGUUAUCAACCUCGGCCGGAGAUCCUUUCUCGACUCCCUGCGAGAAAGAAAUCCCAGAGCCAUACUAUCCAGUUAUCAUCACAAUCCAAUUCUCAUCACCAUCCAGUUCUAGUUGUAUCGAUCGGGAUACAACUCCAAGUGUUCGUUACCGUAGGACAGGCUAUCGAUAGAUGUUUUCUUCCUUGCAGGGGUGCACCAACUUACCCACCACGCUCGAUUAACUCCGGCCGGACACACUUUCCUGGGUCAUGCCUGGCCUCGGCCAAACAAUACGCCGCAACCCGACCUAGGCUUAAUAGAGAAGCCAGCACGCCGGACUAAACCUAUGCCCCCAGGGGUCAUGGGCCAUCUCCCCGGGAACUCCUGCACGUUGCGUGGGCGGCCGGUGAGCAGACCUAGCUACCUCCCUAAAAAGGCAGGAGCUUACCAGUCCAACCCGGCGUGCGCCGCUCAGUCGCUGACGUCUAUUAAGCUUCGGCUGAUGUAUACGACGCAGAACACCCAUACUAUGCCCACGUGAUGGUUAGUGCUAUCAGGCCAGAGGCCCCUCGGAUCAAAUAUCCAAAUCGUAGUGUAUUAGGAACGCGCGGUAACAAGCAGAGAUUCACGAAAGAUGUGACCCCGUUGCCCCGUCUCGAGGACUUGCGGCAAGGGCUAGGAAUGUCCGGCCACGCCUCGUAAUUAUCUCGCGGGCACCCUCCAGGUCAACCCGUCUCCACAUCACUCGCAAUUAAGCUCGCGCGGGUACCCCUCAGGGUCGACCCGUCUUUAGUAACAUGGUUCAGUGUAAAGACAUAGUAACCAUAGUAACUGUGUAUCCAAACAUCAAGGGGAAAACCCGAGGAAUCACCCCGGUGAAUUCCACUCGAUGUAAUCAUCAAGGUGAACGUAAGAGGAACCACCCCGAGGUUCACACUUGAGGGGUUGCACGACAGAGCCGUAUCGAAAGUGGUUAUGGAGGAAAUCACCCUCGAUGACCAUGAAUGAAUAGCUACACUACAGAGAUCUCAUCAGGAGUGAUGUAUGAAGGUCCACCCUCGACACUCGAUGGUAACCCUGCAGAGUCGAGCAACAAAAGGGGCGUGAUGUGAUGUGAGGUAUCGGGCUCUGGUCUUCGAUCCCGUUGAACGGGUCUUCGAUGAUGAAGCAGGGGCAACAAGGACAAGAUGGGGUCACUGAUGGAUCACUAACUAACCUAUACUAAGUAGUUUAGGAUAAGCAGGUAGAUAACAAUGAGCAGGUUACAAAAGCAGGCUAUGCAUCAGAAUAGGAGCAAACAAUAACAAUAGCAAAAUCUAAUGCAAGCAUGAGAGAAUGAAAUGGGCGAUAUCGGGAUGAUCAAAAGGGGGGCUUGCCUGGUUGCUCAGACAAGAACGAGGGGUCGUCGGUGACGUAGUCAAUCACAACGGCAUCGACAGCCGCCACGUGGUCUACCGAAAAGAAGAGGGGGGAGAAACAGUAAAUACAUAGCAAGCAAGUGCAUAACAGGAUAGAAGGCAUAGCUAGACGUGUUCUAACGCGGUCCUAGACGUUAUAGGUGAAGGGGGAAUUCAACUGGGAAGGUGUUCCCGGUUCCGGGCCUGUGUCAGACAGAUGACCGCAGGGGGAAAGUUCCAUGUUCAGCAUACUAGGGGCAUGUGACUGGUGAAUGGAUAGCGUAUUCGGAUUCGUUGGAUUUUUCUGAGCAACUCUCAUGUAGAAAACAUUUUCAUCCGAGCUAUGGAUUAUUUUAUAUGAUUUUUCAAAGAUUUAGACAAUUUCUGGAAUUUCAGGAUUUACUAAUAAAUCAAAAAGUAAAAUACCUAAAAUGCUACGGGUACACAAGGAAGUGUACCCAACAGUGUGUAAGAGGCUGACAGGUGGGGUCUAGUUGACUGCCUAGUCAGCAGUCAACUGAGACUGUUGACUAGUCAAAGGGCCCGGGGGACCCGCAUGUCAUUGACUGGGUUAUCCCAGUCAGCAGUUUAACUGGUCAAUGGGACCAGGGGGACCCAAGUGUCAUCCACACAUAUUUUAGCAUUUUUUCAGAGGAUAUUUAGAGGAAGGGGGGUCCACCUGCCAUAGGCUAGUAGCUAAUCUAACUAGUAAUUAUCCCCUGAAGUAAUUUGCAUAGGGUCGGCCAGAGGCGCAAGCAGCACCACGGAUGUGCACAUACACGCACAACCCAUGUGUGUUCAGCCAUGGCCACGGCCACAUGCGAGGCUAGCGCUGGAGCAACCAACAGUGGCAGCAAGAAGAGCAGCAGUAGCAAAAUGAGUAGCAACAGCAAAAGAGUAGCAGCGGCAUAUCAGCAACAUCAAAACGGCAGUGGUGUCUGCUAGUAGAUCAGCAGCCGGCAAGCGUCAGCGGCAUGCGAGAAGCAGCAGCAUAGCAGCCUCAUCAAUAUUCAGUAGUAAGCAGCAGCAACCAUCAUGGCAGCUAGCGGGACAGGGGCGCCGCCCGGGCGAACGUCCGCGCGCGAGGAGCAGCAGUACAAGCAGCAGCAGAGCAGCGGCAGGGACGCGGACGACUAUGGCGGCGCGCCUGGGCGCGGCCAGGGAGCGGCGGGCGCGAGCCAGCAAGGCCUAACGCGGCCAGAGGCGCGCGAGCGCGGACUGUGGCGCAGCGAGCACGAGCUCCGACGGCGUCGGGCACGGCGGUGACGGCGGCCUACGAUGGUACGCGGACAAACGACGAGGUUGCUCUAGAGGACCGGAUCGAUACAGGGAAAGGGAGGAGGAGCUGGGUCUCACAGUGGUGGCAACGGCGAGAGCAGGUGGUUCCGGGAGGUUCGAACGACGGUGGAUCGAAGCCGUGGCCGAGGCGAACGCUGACGGAGGGGAUCGGCGCGGUCCGGCGAUGCAUCGAGGAUGGGCUCGAUCUGGCCCUUGUAGACGAAGCAGAGGAAGCGGGCGGAGCUCCUGGCGAAGUCUUGGCCGACGGGGAGGUCGGUGGCCACGGCGAUGCAGCAGCUAGUGGCGACGGUGCUUCGGGCGCACGCGAGGAGAAGAGAGCGACGCGAGGUGGAGAUGAAGUGGGCGGCUAGGGUUCACAGGGGGACGAGGGCGACCUUAUCUGCAUCAGGGGGCCACGGGAUGGAUGCCGCGUGGUCAUCCGCGUCCAUGGACGGGGCGCACGCCUCCACGGCGCUCCUGAUGAGCAGUAGGAAGG